rnacentral:rRNA from 1 species
GAUGAACGCUGGCGGCGUGCUUAACACAUGCAAGUCGAACGGGAAAUAUUUCAUUGAGACUUCGGUGGAUUUGAUUUAUUUCUAGUGGCGGACGGGUGAGUAACGCGUGGGUAACCUGCCUUAUACAGGGGGAUAACAGUCAGAAAUGGCUGCUAAUACCGCAUAAGCGCACAGAGCUGCAUGGCUCAGUGUGAAAAACUCCGGUGGUCUAGGAUGGACCCGCGUUGGAUUAGCUAGUUGGUGGGGUAACGGCCCACCAAGGCGACGAUCCAUAGCCGGCCUGAGAGGGUGAACGGCCACAUUGGGACUGAGACACGGCCCAGACUCCUACGGGAGGCAGCAGUGGGGAAUAUUGCACAAUGGGGGAAACCCUGAUGCAGCGACGCCGCGUGAAUGAAGAAGUAUCUCGGUAUGUAAACUUCUAUCAGCAGGGAAGAUAGUGACGGUACCUGACUAAGAAGCCCCGGCUAACUACGUG